UAUUUUUUGACCUCGUAUCAGGCAAGAGUACCCGCUGAACUUAAGCAUAUCAAAA
rnacentral:rRNA from 1 species